UAUUGCACAAUGGGCGAAAGCCUGAUGCAGCAACGCCGCGUGAGGGAUGACGGCCUUCGGGUNGUAAAUCUCUUUUAGUAGGGAANNCCNNNANGUGACGGUACCUGCAGAAAAAGCACCGGCUAACUACNNNCNCNAAGCCGCGGUAAUGCGUAGGGUGCAAGCGGUGUCCGGAAUUAUUGGGCGUAAAGAGCUCGUAGGCGGUUUGUCGCGUCUGCUGUGAAAUCCCGAGGCUCAACCUCAGGCUUGCAGUGGGUACGGGCAGACUAGAGUGCGGUAGGGGAGAUUGGAAUUCCUGGUGUAGCGGUGGAAUGCGCAGAUAUCAGGAGGAACACCGAUGGCGAAGGCAGAUCUCUGGGCCGUAACUGACGCUGAGGAGCGAAAGCGUGGGGAGCGAACAGG
rnacentral:rRNA from 1 species